CAGCCGCCACGGUAAAACGUAGGUGGCAAGCGUUGUCCGGAAUUAUUGGGCGUAAAGGGCUCGCAGGCGGUUUCUUAAGUCUGAUGUGAAAGCCCCCGGCUCAACCGGGGAGGGUCAUUGGAAACUGGGAAACUUGAGUGCAGAAGAGGAGAGUGGAAUUCCACGUGUAGCGGUGAAAUGCGUAGAGAUGUGGAGGAACACCAGUGGCGAAAGCGGCUCUCUGGUCUGUAACUGACGCUGAGGCUCGAAAGCGUGGGGAGCAAACAGGAUUAGAGACCCCCGUAGUCCCUGUCUCUUAUAA
rnacentral:rRNA from 1 species